rnacentral:rRNA from 1 species
GAUCCUGGCUCAGGAUGAACGCUAGCUACAGGCUUAACACAUGCAAGUCGAGGGGAAACGACAUCGAAAGCUUGCUUUUGAUGGGCGUCGACCGGCGCACGGGUGAGUAACGCGUAUCCAACCUGCCCAUCACUUGGGAAUAACCUUGCGAAAGUAAGACUAAUGCCCAAUGAUAUCCCACGAAGGCAUCCGAAUGGGAUUAAAGUAUUUAUCGGUGAUGGAGUGGGGAGUGCGUCUGAUUAG